GAUGAACGCUGGCGGCGUGCCUAACACAUGCAAGUCGAACGGAGAUUCCGGACGGAAGUUUUCGGAUGGAAGACUGUAAUUCUUAGUGGCGGACGGGUGAGUAACGCGUGGGCAACCUGCCCUAUACAGGGGGAUAGCAGCUGGAAACGGCUGGUAAGACCGCAUAAGUCGGCGAGACCGCAUGGUUUUGCCGGGAAAUGAGCAAUCAGGUAUAGGAGGGGCCCGCGUCCGAUUAGCCAGUUGGCAGGGUAAAAGCCUACCAAAGCAACGAUCGGUAGCCGGACUGAGAGGUCGGGCGGCCACAUUGGGACUGAGACACGGCCCAAACUCCUACGGGAGGCAGCAGUGGGGGAUAUUGCACAAUGGAGGAAGCUCUGAUGCAGCGACGCCGCGUGAGUGAAGAAGUAUUUCGGUAUGUAAAGCUCUAUCAGCAGGGAAGAUGAUGACGGUACCUGACUAAGAAGCCCCGGCUAACUACGUG
rnacentral:rRNA from 1 species